rnacentral:rRNA from 1 species
UACGUAGGGGGCAAGCGUUGUCCGGAUUUAUUGGGCGUAAAGAGCUCGUAGGUGGUUCGGUAAGUCGGAUGUGAAAUCUCCAGGCUCAACCUGGAGGGUCAUUCGAUACUGCCGUACUAGAGGUCGUAGGGGAGUGUGGAAUUCCUGGUGGAGCGGUGAAAUGCGCAGAUAUCAAGGAGGAACACCCGUAGCGAAGGCGGCACUCUGGGCCGAUACUGACACUGAGGAGCGAAAGCGUGGGGAGCGAACAGGAUAGAUACCCCA